GCCCGGAUGGCGGAAUUGGUAGACGCGCUGGUCUCAAACACCAGUGAAGCAAUUCGUGCCGGUUCGAUCCCGGCUCUGGGUACCA
rnacentral:tRNA from 1 species